AGUCUCAAAGCAAAGGCUCAUGGGCUGCUGGCAGACCUAUGAGACUAUGCUUUAGAGACGACAACAGGUAUGAGGAAGUAAGGCGAUAGCCUGGAUUCCGAAUAGCUGUUAGGAUUCUGGAAGUGCAAAGCACGGAAGAAUCCGGGG
rnacentral:sRNA from 1 species